GCUGAUGUAACUCAAUGGUAGAGUAACUGAUUUGUAAUCAGUAGGUUAUGGGUUCAAUUCCCUUUAUCAGUU
rnacentral:tRNA from 1 species